UACGUAGGGGGCAAGCGUUGUCCGGAUUUAUUGGGCGUAAAGAGCGUGUAGGCGGCUAGAUAGGUCCGUUGUGAAAACUCGAGGCUCAACCUCGAGACGUCGAUGGAAACCAUCUGGCUAGAGUCCGGAAGAGGAGAGUGGAAUUCCUGGUGUAGCGGUGAAAUGCGCAGAUAUCAGGAAGAACACCCGUGGCGAAGGCGGGUCCCUGGGACGGUACUGACGCUGAGACGCGAAAGCGUGGGGAGCGAACAGG
rnacentral:rRNA from 1 species